rnacentral:rRNA from 1 species
GAUGAACGCUGGCGGCGUGCCUAGUACAUGCCAGUCGAGCGAACAGAUAAGGAGCUUGCUCCUUUGACGUUAGCGGCGGACGGGUGAGUAACACGUGGGUAACCUACCUAUAAGACUGGAAUAACUCCGGGAAACCGGGGCUAAUGCCGGAUAACAUUUAGAACCGCAUGGUUCUAAAGUGAAAGAUGGUUUUGCUAUCACUUAUAGAUGGACCCGCGCCGUAUUAGCUAGUUGGUAAGGUAACGGCUUACCAAGGCAACGAUACGUAGCCGACCUGAGAGGGUGAUCGGCCACACUGGAACUGAGACACGGUCCAGACUCCUACGGGAGGCAGCAGUAGGGAAUCUUCCGCAAUGGGCGAAAGCCUGACGGAGCAACGCCGCGUGAGUGAUGAAGGUCUUCGGAUCGUAAAACUCUGUUAUUAGGGAAGAACAAAUGUGUAAGUAACUGUGCACGUCUUGACGGUACCUAAUCAGAAAGCCACGGCUAACUACGUG